UGCAGUCGCACGGUAACAGGGAGCUUGCUCCGCUGACGAGUGGCGAACGGGUGAGUAAUAUAUCGGAACGUGCCCUGGAGUGGGGGAUAACUAGUCGAAAGAUUAGCUAAUACCGCAUACGAUCUAAGGAUGAAAGUGGGGGAUCGCAAGACCUCAUGCUCGUGGAGCGGCCGAUAUCUGAUUAGCUAGUUGGUAGGGUAAAAGCCUACCAAGGCAUCGAUCAGUAGCUGGUCUGAGAGGACGACCAGCCACACUGGGACUGAGACACGGCCCAGACUCCUACGGGAGGCAGCAGUGGGGAAUUUUGGACAAUGGGCGCAAGCCUGAUCCAGCAAUGCCGCGUGAGUGAAGAAGGCCUUCGGGUUGUAAAGCUCUUUUGUCAGGGAAGAAACGGUGAGAGCUAAUAUCUUUUGCUAAUGACGGUACCUGAAGAAUAAGCACCGGCUAACUACGUGCCAGCAGCCGCGGUAAUACGUAGGG
rnacentral:rRNA from 1 species